rnacentral:sRNA from 2 species
GUAUCUGAAGCCUGACGAGGAUGAGAACCUCCGGGGACAAGAGGUUCGACCCGAGCGAAGCGAGAGAACGUUGCGUCAGCAACGGCCCGCAGUGGCAAGUCAUCCUCUGUCACCGGCAG